rnacentral:rRNA from 1 species
AGGACGAACGCUGGCGGCGUGCUUAACACAUGCAAGUCGAGCGAGGCCCCUUCCUUCGGGAGGGGAGCCCUAGCGGCGAACGGGUGAGUAACACGUGGGCAAUCUGCCCCUAGCACUGGGAUAACUCCGGGAAACCGGGCUAAUACCGGAUAUGACCUCCGAGGGCAUCCUCUGGAGGUGGAAAGGAUUCUGGCUAGGGAUGAGCCCGCGGCCUAUCAGCUAGUUGGUGGGGUAAUGGCCCACCAAGGCGACGACGGGUA